rnacentral:rRNA from 1 species
CUACGGGAGGCUGCAGUGGGGAAUAUUGGACAAUGGGGGGAACCCUUAUCCAGCCAUGCCGCGUGUGUGAAGAAGGCCCUCGGGUUGUAAAGCACUUUCAGUGAGGAAGAACGCCUGGUGGUUAAUACCCAUCAGGAAAGACAUCACUCACAGAAGAAGCACCGGCUAACUCCGUGCCAGCAGCCGCGGUAAUACGGAGGGUGCGAGCGUUAAUCGGAAUUACUGGGCGUAAAGCGCGCGUAGGUGGCUUGAUAAGCCGGUUGUGAAGGCCCCGGGCUCAACCUGGGAACGGCAUCCGGAACUGUCAAGCUAGAGUGCAGGAGAGGAAGGUAGAAUUCCCGGUGUAGCGGUGAAAUGCGUAGAGAUCGGGAGGAAUACCAGUGGCGAAGGCGGCCUUCUGGACUGACACUGACACUGAGGUGCGAAAGCGUGGGUAGCAAACAGGAUUAGAUACCCUGGUAGUC